CUUUGUUUCCAUAAACAUGAAUUCUAAAUCUUAUUUCAAAUAAAAACCCUAGAUCUAAUUUUGUAUUUCACCUUGCCGAUUCAUCUCUCAAUGAAUCCUCUGGGUCAUUUGUUUCAUCUAUUGCUUCUUCAUCUCUGUAAUUUUCCAUCAUGUAUCCGUAGUAUUUCUUGAAUCUGACUCUCUUCCACGGAGUGGCCGCAUUCAGUUUCAUCGGCUCAUAUCAAGAACGAUUCUCACCUCGAGGGACUUAUUUAGUGCUCCGAUCUGGGUUUUUAUUGUGAAUAGGUUUUGUUGAUGAGGAUGUUAGAUAGUCAAAGCCAUGGGAUUUCAAUCCUUUCUGAUCAAUGGUGUUUUUCAGAAAAUCCUAAAUCUCAAAUCUGAUGUGUAAGCCGAGUUGAUUGGUGACGAUGUGUAAGCCGUAGAUUGGUGGCGAUAGAAAUGAGAUACCAGCAGGCAAUGACGAUUAAGGUAAGUAUAUCGACCCCUGUAGAUAGCCUCCAGAUUACCCACUUGAUAUAGGUAUGUCGAUUUCUUCAUCUCAAAGGUGUGUUUUUCAUAUAAUUAUCUCUCUUCGUUUUAACUUUCUUUCAUCGAUUUGAUGUUAAAUAUGCAUUUGUUUUCGGUUAGGGUUUUUAGAAUCCUCUAAUAGAUUUGAUGUUGAAUGUUCAUUUGUAAGGUAUGCAUUUGUUUUAACUUUGAUGCAUUCGUUUUAACUUUCAAAUGAUGUUCUUUGUUGUAGUUGAAACCAAGUUAGAGUGCAUUUGCAGACAACCUAGAAGAGGCUGCAAAUUCUUAUAUGACUAUAUUAGAAAAAGCUAAAAGGGUUGUUCCACAAGAUAUGCACAAAAUACACCUGUUAAAGUUGGAGUUAGUGAUUUGUAUGGCUAAUAAGUAAUAAUACUUUUGUAUUUUGCUUGAGCUAUAUAAUUAUACAUCUAAACUACACAUCUAUGUGUAGGCAACUGCAGGUCUGAGACAAUUGGGAUGCAUCUAAAAGAAUUUUGCUGUUGUUGCCAUUCUUUAAAAAAAAUUAAGGCAUUUAAGUGUAGUUUUAAAGAAAGUUGGUAAUCUAAAGAUGGAUUUGUUGUUGUUGCCAUUCUUUAAAAAAAAAAACAACUCAGUUUUGAUCUGAAACCUGGUCCGACUGUAACCCGUUCUUACCCAAAACGAAAUAACCCCUUUUUUUAGUUAACCCAUACCCGUUUUGACCCGAACCAAAAUAAACCCUGUAUUUCUUGAUAAAGUUCAUAACUGUAUAAUGAUCUUGGGGAGGCAGCCUUAAUAAUACAUCUUGGGCAACUUUUGACCCUAAUAAAAAUAACGAUCUUGGGGAGGCAGCCUUAUUUACAUGAUUUUUUUUUUUUUGGUUUAAGCUAUUAUUUUUCCUUAAGGAUUUUCCUUGAGGAAGAUGAUAUGUAGAACCUGGAUUACCAUUUUUUCAAAUCUCAUUCAAGUUAUUGAAAUUCUGUUAGAUGAUUACAAUUAGGUUAUUUGGAAUUUGAUGAUUGGAUUAAUUAGUGAUAAGAGGGUUUGGUGGAGUUUCGCUAUUCUACCAUCCAAGAUGUAACCAAAGAAGAUAUGAGGAAAACAUUAAAUAAACAAUACGGGGGCGACAAGGGGCGAUUUAGUAUAUGAUAUAAGUGACUUAUAUUAUUAGUUUUAUCUAAUUUCUCAGAAUUUGGUGGAAAUUCGGGUGCGCCUAACCAGACCUUGCUGAUGUUUUGCAGCAGUGGCUUUCUUUUGAGCUUCACAUCUGAGUUACCUUUUAGCUCAUUGACCCAGAUACAUGAUUACGUUGGCGUCAUUUGUUAACGGAGAUGAACUGGCAACAAUUAAGCUAACCACGGGUCUCUAAAUAGCUUUUCUCUGCUCUUUUAUCUCUGUUAGAGCAGAUUAUGGACGAAACUCUACCAUUUUAUUAAAGAAAUCCUACCGGGUGACUUUCUUUGCUGUUUAGGAAGGUCGCCGCCGAUGAAUUUUCCACCCACUGGAUCAAAUGUGAACCUGUGUUCAGUAUUUUAGGUGAGAAUGUUUAUGUAAACCUGGUGUGCAUCUUCCUAAUGCAUGGACAAGCCUUCAAACAUGAGGGAAAUUACGAAAAUGUCGGGUUGACCAAACCACUUUUCAAAUUUGUCACUCUCAGGCGUCGAUGGAGAGGGCGCUCCCGAGUCUGAUGCGUCCGCAUAUGGGAUGUCGCCACGUGUCCAAAUGAAAGGAGUGGUCAGCGGCUUGUGGCUUGGCUGACUCUUUAGAGUGGUUUGGCUGACUCUUCGGAGUGGUUCGGCUGACCUCUCCCAUUAACUGUCUUGCGAAAAUAAUCCAUCAUUAAAAACCGUUUUUUUUUAACGAAAUUACCUUCUCUUGCGUAUUUAUAAGCUGAAACGGUAAUUAAUUUUUUUUUUUUAAAUUAAUAACAUGAGUGGUCAGCCGAGCCACUUGGAGUGGUCAGCCGACCCCCCAAAACCAGCCAAGAUAGUUAAUGGGAGAGGUUAGCUGAACCACUCCGAAGAGUCAGCCAUAAAACUACAGCAGAUCCGAAGAGUCACUCUUGGACCAUGGGGUGGUCAGAUGGGAUACAAAUGGAUUUAUAUGCAACGAGGCUCUAUUUUAAAGAUAAAGAUAAGGGUUUAUCACGAAUCUGCUGUUAACACCAUCGAAUUUCAUAACCAAUGCAGAGAAGGUGAAGGUCGGAAAUAUGUUUUUGGUACUCCGGGUAUCAAGUCAUCAGACUUUAUUUGCACUGACGGUACUAAUGAAUAUUUGAUUUUAAUAAGCGGGACUACUGGGAGUAGUAGUCCAUUUGGUGGCGUUGAAAAUAAAGUAGUUAAAUCUAUAUUCUUUAUGACAAAUUUGAACGUUUAUGGACCCUAUGGUAAUUAUAAUAAUGGCACUGCCUUCUCGCAUGAUGUGAAAGACGGGGUGGUUGUAGGAUUUCAUGGGUGUGCUAGCAUAAGUCAGUAUUAGUUGUGUUGUGUCACAUAUGACAUAAAUACUCCAAUAACCACGGUUGACCUAUGCACUGUAAAAACUUACCCAAAAAGUAAUUUACCCAAAAAAAAUAAUUGUUUAAUGAUUGGAAUGGGUGUUAUUGGGCAUUAUUCCCACUACGCCACUUUUGCAAUAACGCUCAAUGAUGCCCCUAUGCUGACUGGACUGCCACGUGGCAGAAAACGCCCAAGGGUGGGGGCAUUAUUGCUCAAACCACCGAACCAUGGUGAGGCGAUGCAAGCUCCUGUUAAUCAAAAUGCAUGGCUUCUACUUAUGCGCUCAGAGUGGACAUUAGGUUUUUUGAAAUUUCAUCUAUAGUGGAUAUUAGAUUUUACACCAACAAUCAACAAAUUUUAACUUAUUUUGCCCGUUCAUAUGGGUCAAAUAAGUUGAAAGUUGUGAAUGUUUUAUUCAAUUUCUUUUGAAUUGUUUUUCACCUUAUUACUGAUCUGCAGUGUCGUAAAGCCGCUCUAAAGUAUUACGAUACAUAUCUUCCUUUUCUUUAAUUUUAGGGCAAGGACAAAACAACUGAGGAAAGGAGGAUUGCCAUUUGCAUCUUCGAUGAUGUGGCAGAGUAGUGUCGUGAAGCCGCUCUAAAGUAUUACGAUACAUAUCUUCCUUUUCUUCUCGAAGCGUGUAAUGACGAGAGUCCUGAUGUUCGACAGGUCAACACGAUGAGUCGAUGACCAACCAAUAUCUUAUGUCUGAUUGUAAUUAGACACCCUAAUGCUCUUCUGCCUGAAAAUCUUAUGGCGUAUGAUAACGCUGUUUCUGCUUUGGGGAAAAUAUGUCAGUUUUAUCGGGAUAGUAUCGACUCCACUCAUAUUAUUCCUGCAUGGUUAAGCUGUUUACCAAUUAAAGGAGAUCUUAUUGAGGCUAAGGUUGUUCACGAACUACUUUGUUCGAUGGUGGAAAGGUCAGACAUGGAACUUCUGGGACCCAACAAUCAAUAUGUGCCCAAAAUAGUUUUGGUAUUUGCUGAGCACUCGCAUUGGAUCCUUCAUCUCCUUCUCCAUACUUUAAAUUAUGUAGAAGCCAUUACUAGCCAGGGUUACGGCUAGGAUUCCAAACAAGGGUCCGUUUCUCCGGCAACCGAUGUGAGCAACAACAAUGAAGGAUAUAGAGAACUUGCGAAUUGAUUAUUAUUUGAGAAGGAUGGGUUUGAGCUUGAUUUGAAUACUUAUAGUUUGUUGAUUGACGGGUUGUUUAUAUGAAAAGGUUUAAAGGUCGUGAUAUGUUUAAGAAAAUGACAGAGCCGACAUUGCGCUUGAUGGUGUGUUGUAUACGAUCAUGAUCUGAGGGUUGCCUGAUGAAGGUAGAGUGCAUGACGGAUAAGCAUUUGGUGUUGGAUACUCAAGCUUAUAAUACGUUGAUCAAAGGAAUUUGUGAUGUGGGCCUUUUGGAUGAAGCGCACUCACUAAAACUUGAGAUUUAUGGUGUUGAGGAGUUUCCGGAUGCUUGCACUUACACUAUUCUUAUAUCGGGUAUGUGUACAUAUGGGUUAGUGGGAGAUGCAGACAAAAUGGAAAAAUGUGGAUGUGUACCUUUUGUUUUGACAUUUAAUUCUCUUAUUGACAGGAUUUGUAAAUCAGGCGAGCCUCAAUAAGCUCAUCUUUUGUUUUACACAAUGGAAUUUUGAAGAAAUCUUUCUCUAUUUCAAGACUAACCCAAUGUUCAGAUAGAGUUGUUGAUAGUGCAAGCUUGCAAACAUUAGUUGUUGAAGAAAUAUUUUUUUAUUUAUUUUCUAUUUUUAUUUUUACAAAAUGGUCGUGUAGAAGAAAAAAGACAUUUAAAACUUAUAAUCUAUCAAAUUA